rnacentral:rRNA from 3 species
CCAAGUCAGGCGGGAACACCCGCUGAGUUUAA